rnacentral:rRNA from 1 species
AGAGUUUGAUCCUGGCUCAGGAUGAACGCUGGCGGCAUGCCUAACACAUGCAAGUCGAACGGGGUUUAUAUGACGGAACUCUCCGGAGGGAAGAUAUAUAAACCUAGUGGCGGACGGGUGAGUAACGCGUGGGCAACCUGCCCUGUACCGGGGGACAACAGCCAGAAAUGGCUGCUAAUACCGCAUAAGCCUGCUGUGCCGCAUGGCACAGCAGGGAAAACCACGGUGGUACAGGAUGGACCCGCGUCUGAUUAGCCAGUUGGCAGGGUAACGGCCUACCAAAGCGACGAUCAGUAGCCGGCCUGAGAGGGUGAACGGCCACAUUGGGACUGAGACACGGCCCAGACUCCUGCGGGAGGCAGCAGUGGGGAAUAUUGCACAAUGGGGGAAACCCUGAUGCAGCGACGCCGCGUGAGUGAAGAAGUAUUUCGGUAUGUAAAGCUCUAUCAGCAGGGAAGAAAAUGACGGUACCUGAUUAAGAAGCCCCGGCUAACUACGUGCCAGCAGCCGCGGUAAUACGUAGGGGGCAAGCGUUAUCCGGAUUUACUGGGUGUAAAGGGAGCGUAGACGGUGAUGCAAGUCAGAAGUGAAAGCCCGGGGCUCAACUCCGGGACUGCUUUUGAAACUGUGUGACUGGAGUGCAGGAGAGGUAAGCGGAAUUCCUGGUGUAGCGGUGAAAUGCGUAGAUAUCAGGAGGAACACCAGUGGCGAAGGCGGCUUACUGGACUGUAACUGACGUUGAGGCUCGAAAGCGUGGGGAGCAAACAGAAUUAGAUACCCUGGUAGUCCACGCCGUAAACG